AUGAAUAUCCUUAGUUGGAACUGCCGGGGAGGCGGGAACCCUCGGACAGUUCGUGAUCUUGUGAGUCUUGUUCAGACUCAUCUCCCGAGCAUUGUUUUUCUUUGUGAAACUAGACAGACAAAAAAUAAAAUGAAGAGAUGUCGCUCUCGUUUAGGUUUAAGUGGUUUUGAGGCUUUAGAUAGUGAUGGCCUUAGCGGUGGCUUGGCUUUGUUUUGGCAUGAGUCUUUGAGUCUUGAUGUAAAAACUAUCAAUAAAAGAUAUAUUGAUGCGUACGUGACGACGAUGCCGGGAGAG
rnacentral:rRNA from 1 species